AUUGAACGCUGGCGGCAGGCCUAACACAUGCAAGUCGAGCGGAUGAGAGGAGCUUGCUUCUCGAUUCAGCGGCGGACGGGUGAGUAAUGCCUAGGAAUCUGCCUGGUAGUGGGGGACAACGUUUCGAAAGGAACGCUAAUACCGCAUACGGCCUACGGGAGGAAGCAGGGGACCUUCGGGCCUUGCGCUAUCAGAUGAGCCUAGGUCGGAUUAGCUAGUUGGUGGGGUAAUGGCACACCAAGGCGACGAUCCGUAACUGGUCUGAGAGGAUGAUCAGGCAGACUGGAACUGAGACACGGUCCAGACUCCUACGGGAGGCAGCAGUGGGGAAUAUUGGACAAUGGGCGAAAGCCUGAUCCAGCCAUGCCGCGUGUGUGAAGAAGGUCUUCGGAUUGUAAAGCACUUUAAGUUGGGAGGAAGGGUUGUAGAUUAAUACUCUGCGAUUUUGACGUUACCGACAGAAUAAGCACCGGCUAACUCUGUGCCAGCAGCCGCAGUAACAC
rnacentral:rRNA from 1 species